GGGUAUCGGAUUGAAGCAAAAUCCGGUUCCGGCCCCCCCUCUCGCGGCCAUUUUGCCGUUUUUCCCCGAUCGGUGCUAAUUGGAGCGUGCGGCCGUUUAAACAGUUACGUCAUGCAAUUUUGGAAAAAAGAUUUUUUUGGUGGAGGGGCAGCAUGUGCCUCUUCGUCAAACUGAGGUACCGUGCUCGCGCAUGCCCCUUUCCAGUGCACUCUAGAGUUAACCAAGCGAAAUGGACAAGGUUGAACGUUUCACCGGCUACAGGGUGACCCAAGCAACACCACGCUUCCGCCACACACGGCAAUUUAACAGCGAUUUUAUUAUACCAUAAUAACUACUUUAUAAUUGAAUAAUAAACGUUUACGUUUCGAGUCUCCCAUAAAUUCAUCCACAGUGGCAAAAAUUUCCAAAAAGGCAAACUGUUUCCUCUCACCGCGUUAAUCUCGAUUUGUCGCUAUCUCGUAAAAUUUCCGUUCUAGGCCAAAUCUAAGUGAUGCGGAAGUGCAUGUUUUGCGAACGGAUGCAGAUUCGGCCGACAUUUGGUGAACAAAAAACGCCAGCAAUAAUAAUAAUAAUUCGCUGCGUUCGAUCUGGGGUUGAUAUAAAAAAAUUGAAACGUCCUCCGGCGAUGCGUCUGGUGUUUUUUAUUAUCGGACGUGAUGCAGUUGUUAUUUUUCCCUUUGUUGUGCCAAGGGUAUUUUUACAUGAAUUUUUCAGAUCACUAAAUUAAUUUUUACAAUUAUUGUGCGCUUUGUUAUCGUUGAUUUGAUGUCCUUUUGUGGAAAAUUGCUAAACGGUAAAUAGAAACGAACUGUUAUUUACAUUUUGUAUUUUUUCUGAAAAAAAUUGAAUUUAUUAUUUCUGCGAUGAUGGCAAUUUGUUUUUAAUAAGGCCCCUCGAGUCAAAAUCGAUGGAAAUAUCAUAUACGGACUGUUAUUAGCUAAAUAAACACGUCGUAAUGUAGAAAUUACAAAAGCAAUAAACAUAAAUAUCGGUAAAGGAGACGAUUUGCAUCCCAGUCUUAAUGAAACGGUAAUAAUAAAAUCAAUGAGUGUGUGACAUGAGAAUCAACCAUUUUUAAAACAUUAAUUACCUACGCAUAAUUUAAAUCUCUCUUUGUAUACCCAUUUUCUAAUUUUUCCUGCCGGUCUUGGGAGAAAAAAGCUGACAAACUAGAACGGAUAGUUGCAGACUCGCAUCGACAGUAUUUAUAGAUUCACGUCAGGUGUAUGAAACUAUAAAUUUUUUAUUGUGGAAUAGUGAGCAGCUGUCAAAGUGGAGAUUAUUUAUUUUUAAAACUCGAUGAAAUAUAUGACACUUCUGAGACUUUAUCGCUUAUCCUAAUUUCCAUUUUAUACAACAUUUCCAUUAGCCCAACGAUCACAAUCGCAAAACGACCAAAAUCUCGCGUUAAUUCGAUACCAAGUGUUUUCUGUGUCGAAGGAGAGAAACGCGUGAAAUUUUUGUGUAUCAUGUGGGGCGAGAAUCGGCGAGGGUUGGAGAACAAACACCCCUAAAACGGACGAAAUUAAAAGGGGCCUCGCGCGACAACACAAUAAAGAACAUUGGAGCAGGGGCACGUGUUCAAUUUAGAAAUUGGUAUCGAUUGUGUGAAGGUUUCGGCUGAGCCGAUCCCAUCCGCGAAAAUAAAUCGUUUUUCUGUUACUGGGGCGAGUUCGUGGAAAAUUGCCGGUGAGGGAAAAUAGAAAAGCGCGACAAGUAAUCGCUAACUUUGGGAAAACUGCUCACAACUAUUGAUGAUUGUAAUAUUUUACUGUUAUUCAACUCAUUCACAACACAAAUAAAAUCAAGACUUAAUUAUCGUUUUUUUUA